GUGCUCGCUUCGGCAGCACACACACUAAAAUUGGAACGAUACAGAGAAGAUUAGCAUGACCCUGCGCGAGGAUGACACGCAAAUCCGUGAGCGUUCCAUAAAAAAA